AGCGAACGCUGGCGGCAGGCCUAACACAUGCAAGUCGAACGAACCCUUCGGGGUUAGUGGCGGACGGUUGAGUAACACGUGGGAACGUGCCCUUAGGUUCGGAAUAACUCAGGGAAACUUGUGCUAAUACCGAAUGUGCCCUUCGGGGGAAAGAUUUAUCGCCGAAGGAUCGGCCCGCGUCCGAUUAGCUAGUUGGUGUGGUAAUGGCGCACCAAGGCGACGAUCGGUAGCUGGCCUGAGAGGAUGAUCAGCCACACUGGGACUGAGACACGGCCCAGACUCCUACGGGAGGCAGCAGUGGGGAAUAUUGGACAAUGGGGGCAACCUUGAUCCAGCCAUGCCGCGUGAGUGAUGAAGGCCUUAGGGUUGUAAAGCUCUUUCGACGGGGACGAUAAUGACGGUACCCGUAGAUGAAGCCCCGGCUAACUUCGUGCCAGCCGCCGCCGUAAAAC
rnacentral:rRNA from 1 species